GUGAGGAUAGCUCAGCUGGUUAGAGCAUCGGAUUGUGGUUCCGAGGGUCGAGGGUUCGAAUCCCUUUCUUCACC
rnacentral:tRNA from 3 species